ACCUCCCUGUGGAUAACUCAAUCAGUAGAGCAUGAAACUCUAAAUCUCUGGGUUGUGGGUUCAAGCCCCAUGUUGGGCA